UGGCCCUUCGCCUAGUGGUCCAAGGCACCGGGUUUUGAUCCCGGCAUCCAAGGUUCGAAUCCUUGAGGGCCUGCCA
rnacentral:tRNA from 3 species